rnacentral:rRNA from 1 species
UGGGGAAUAUUGGACAAUGGGCGAAAGCCUGAUCCAGCAACGCCGCGUGAGGGAUGACGGCCUUCGGGUUGUAAACCUCUUUCAGCAGGGACGAAGCGCAAGUGACGGUACCUGCAGAAGAAGCACCGGCCAACUACGUGCCAGCAGCCGCGGUAAUACGUAGGGUGCGAGCGUUGUCCGGAAUUAUUGGGCGUAAAGGGCUCGUAGGCGGUUUGUCGCGUCAGGAGUGAAAACUCGGGGCUUAACCCCGAGCCUGCUUCUGAUACGGGCAGACUAGAGGUAUGCAGGGGAGAACGGAAUUCCUGGUGUAGCGGUGAAAUGCGCAGAUAUCAGGAGGAACACCGGUGGCGAAGGCGGUUCUCUGGGCAUUACCUGACGCUGAGGAGCGAAAGUGUGGGGAGCGAACAGGAUUAGAUACCCUGGUAGUCCACACCGUAAACGUUGGGCGCUAGGUGUGGGACUCAUUCCACGAGCUCCGUGCCGCAGCUAACGCAUUAAGCCG